rnacentral:tRNA from 1 species
UGAGGAUGAAGCUUUUUAUUUAAGCAUUUAACUGUUAAUUAAAAGAUAGCACCUAGUGCCUUCCUUU